ensembl:lncRNA
GUUCCAUGUCCGGUUCUCACUGUUGCUUCUUGACCUGCAUACAGAUUUCUCAGGAGGCAGAAAGAUGACAAGUUUUGUUUAUGAUUAUCAGAGGCAUUUACAGGAAAUAUGGGAUGGAAUUAUAGCCAGGCCUCUGCUGCCCAUCUGGACAGCCUUUCCCCGCCUCCCCGGAAGUUAGAUGUGAGCAAGUGAUGUGGCUGUCAUCAUGGAACGUGAGCAGAGCUGACGUGGAGCAUCCACAGGCCUGGGGGGACGUGGCGGCGAGUCCUCCGUACUCUUUCUCCUUCCUGAUGGCUGGAAUCUGCACUCACAGCCACCCAGUAUCAACCAGUGACUGUGAUGGUACUGCCGAGGCGGGGGCACACAGGGCAAGGAGAGGCGCCCACCUCUUGCGCCACCCAUGUUGACAAUGUGGUGUAAGAGAGAAAUACAACCCUUUGUCUGCCUGGCCACGUGUUGCUGCCUCGCUUUGUUACAGCACUUUUCUCUGUUAUGGUAUGCUUCCUUCUAAUUGUCCUGCUCUGAGGUGUUCUUUUCCUCACAUUCCAUGGUCCUCUCUCAGAUCAGGGAGUCCGGGUUCACUAUCUAAUUCCAC